rnacentral:tRNA from 1 species
GUGAAGGUAGGCUAUAGUUAAGCCGUUAGACUCAUGAUCUAAUUAAGAGUUUCUCCCAUCACA